rnacentral:rRNA from 1 species
AUUGAACGCUGGCGGCAGGCCUAACACAUGCAAGUCGAACGAGUGGCGGACGGGUGAGUAAUGUCUGGGAAACUGACUGAUGGAGGGGGAUAACUACUGGAAACGGUAGCUAAUACCGCAUACCAUCGGAUGUGCCCAGAUGGGAUUAGCUAGUAGGUGGGGUAAAGGCUCACCUAGGCGACGAUCCCUAGCUGGUCUGCGAGGAUGACCGGCCACACUGUAAGUGGUGCACGUGCCAGACUCCUACGGGAGGCAGCAGGGGGGAAUAUGGCACAUUUGGCGCAAGCUUGAUGGAGCCAUGCCGCGGGUAGGAAGAAGGCCUUCGGGUUUUAAAGUACUUUCAGCGUGUAGACGUUCCCCGCAUAAGCAGCACCUGCUAACGCCGUGCCAGCAGCCGCGGUAAUUC